rnacentral:rRNA from 1 species
UACGUAGGGUGCAAGCGUUGUCCGGAAUUAUUGGGCGUAAAGAGCUCGUAGGCGGUUUGUCGCGUCUGCUGUGAAAACCCGAGGCUCAACCUCGGGCCUGCAGUGGGUACGGGCAGACUAGAGUGCGGUAGGGGAGAUUGGAAUUCCUGGUGUAGCGGUGAAUGCGCAGAUAUCAGGAGACACCAAUGGCGAAGGCAGAUCUCUGGGCCGUAACUGACGCUGAGGAGCGAAAGCAUGGGAGCGAACAGG